rnacentral:rRNA from 1 species
GACGAAGGAUGCAAGCGUUAUCCGGAUUCAUUGGGUUUAAAGGGAGCGUAGGCGGAUUGGUAAGUCAGUGGUGAAAUCUUUGGGCUUAACCCAGAAACUGCCAUUGAUACUGCUGAUCUAGAGUACAGUUGCCGUUGGCGGAAUAUGACAUGUAGUGGUGAAAUACUUAGAUAUGUCAUAGAACACCGAUUGCGAAGGCAGCUAACGAAGCUGUAACUGACGCUGAGGCUCGAAAGUGCGGGGAGCAAACAGG